rnacentral:tRNA from 1 species
GCCUUCGUGGUGUAGUGGCUCGGCACGCUCGACGAGUAACCGAGAGGUCCGUGGUUCGAUUCCCGGCGAAGGCG